rnacentral:rRNA from 1 species
GAGCUUGCUCCCGGAUGUUAGCGGCGGACGGGUGAGUAACACGUGGGUAACCUGCCUGUAAGACUGGGAUAACUCCGGGAAACCGGAGCUAAUACCGGAUAGUUCCUUGAACCGCAUGGUUCAAGGAUGAAAGACGGUUUCGGCUGUCACUUACAGAUGGACCCGCGGCGCAUUAGCUAGUUGGUGGGGUAAUGGCUCACCAAGGCGACGAUGCGUAGCCGACCUGAGAGGGUGAUCGGCCACACUGGGACUGAGACACGGCCCAAACUCCUACGGGAGGCAGCAGUAGGGAAUCUUCCGCAAUGGACGAAAGUCUGACGGAGCAACACCGCGUGAGUGAUGAAGGUUUUCGGAUCGCAAAGCUCUGUUGUUAUGGAAAAACAAGUGCGAGAGUAACUGCUCGCACCUUGACGGUACCUAACC